rnacentral:rRNA from 1 species
GAUCCUGGCUCAGGACGAACGCUGGCGGCGCGCCUAACACAUGCAAGUCGAACGGAGCUUAGAGAGCUUGCUUUUUAAGUCUUAGUGGCGAACGGGUGAGUAACGCGUGAGUAACCUGCCCUAGAGUGGGGGACAACAGUUGGAAACGACUGCUAAUACCGCAUAAGCCCACGGUGCCGCAUGACACUGAGGGAAAAGGAUUUAUUCGCUUUAGGAUGGACUCGCGUCCAAUUAGCUAGUUGGUGAGGUAACCGG